UUACGUACAAGUGUGGAGUUUGAUUAUGAUUGCUGAGGUAUUACGUCUUUGAAGUUAAUUCAAAGUAUGCAAGCACGUGUUAUGAGAACUUAUGGGGAAUUACACUGAUUCCGUUCUUGCUUUUUAGUCAUUAUAAUAGUUCAUAUGCAUUUGUUUAUCACCUGAUAUUUUACCAACAUAAAUGAAUAAUAACGUCAUAUUGAUGGUAUCGUAGUUAGUGUAUAUGAAAUUAAUAUAAUUUAAUACUAAAAUAUAAAAUACA
rnacentral:lncRNA from 1 species